rnacentral:rRNA from 1 species
GAUGAACGCUGGCGGCGUGCCUAAUACAUGCAAGUCGAGCGAACAGACGAGGAGCUUGCUCCUCUGACGUUAGCGGCGGACGGGUGAGUAACACGUGGAUAACCUACCUAUAAGACUGGGAUAACUUCGGGAAACCGGAGCUAAUACCGGAUAAUAUAUUGAACCGCAUGGUUCAAUAGUGAAAGACGGUUUUGCUGUCACUUAUCGAUGGAUCCGCGCCGCAUUAGCUAGUUGGUAAGGUAACGGCUUACCAAGGCGACGAUGCGUAGCCGACCUGAGAGGGUGAUCGGCCACACUGGAACUGAGCCACGGUCAAGAGGCCUGCGGGAGGCAGCAGUAGGCAAUCGUCCGCAAUGGUCGAAAACCUGACGGAGCAACGCCGCGUGAGUGAUGGAGGUCUUCGGAUCGUGAUACUCUGUUUUUAGGGAAGAACAAAUGUGUAAGUAACUAUGCACGUCUUGACGGUACCUGAUCAGAAAGCCACGGCUAACUACGUG